rnacentral:rRNA from 1 species
AGGAUGAACGCUGGCGGCGUGCUUAAGACAUGCAAGUCGAACGAAGCCCAAGUAGCAAUACUCGGGUUGAGUGGCGAAUGGGUGCGUAACACGUAGGUGACCUGCCCUGAAGCGGGGAAUAACAGUUCGAAAGGACUGCUAAUACCGCAUGUGGUUCUCAUCUUUUGAAAGUGAGAACGAAAGUCGGCUUGCCGAUCACUUCAGGAGGGCCUGCGGCCAUCAGCUAGUGGUAGGUAACGGCCUACCAAGGCAACGACGGGUAGGGGACCUCGAGAGGGUGACCCCCCACACUGGCACUGACACACGGGCCAGGACUCCGUACGGGAGCAGCAGGUCGGGAAAUAGUUGACCCAAAUGGACCGAAAGGGCUAGGA